rnacentral:rRNA from 1 species
CCCUAGAGGUUUUUAUCCUGGCUCAGAAUUAACGCUGGCGGCGGCCUAACCAUGCAAGUCGAGCGGUAACAUUUCAAAAGCUUGCUUUUGAAGAUGACGAGCGGCGGACGGGUGAGUAAUGCCUGGGAAUUUGCCCUUUGUGGGGGAUAACAGUUGGAAACGACUGNUAAUACCGCAUACGCCCUACGGGGGAAAGCGGGGACUUGGUCCUGCGCUGAUGGAUAGCCCAGGUGGGAUUAGCUAGUAGGUGAGGUAAUGGCUCACCUAGGCAACGAUCCCUAGCUGGUUGAGAGGAUGAUCAGCCACCUGGGACUGAGACACGGCCCAGACUCCUACGGGAGGCAGCAGUGGGGAAUAUUGCACAAUGGGGGAAACCCUGAUGCAGCCUGCCGCGUGUGUGAAGAAGGCCUUCGGGUUGUAAAGCACUUUCAGCGAGGAGGAAAGGUUAGUAGUUAUACCUGCUAGCUGUGUACGUUAUCCGCAGAAGAAGCCCGGCUAAUCCUGAGG